rnacentral:lncRNA from 1 species
ACGCGGGCUGAGGCGGGACUCACGGCGGCCGGGCAGGGCCGGGCGGCGGCGGCGGCGGCGACUGCUCCGGGCAGCGCUGCAGGGCGAGGGCUGGCAACCGCCGGCAGGAGGGAGAUGCGCGCACACACCAGUGCGGAGAUAGAGGGAGGAUGAAUGGAUGGAGCGAUGCACAGAGCCGAGAGGAGUGCCUCUUGCCAAGCCGCCCCCUCCCCUCCAUGUGACGCAGAUGUGCUCUGGGGCCAUCAGUGUGAAUAGACACAGGGAAAGGGAUGCUUCAGUCAUCCUCACACAAUUUUUCAGAAUUUCUUAUCUUCAUGUUUCCCUGCAAGCGCUUUUGACAUUUGCCAGUGAGGCAAAGGACAUCUUCUAGACUACUGCAUGACAAGGGACAAAAUUCCAGCUUGCAGAAGAUACAGGAGUUGUGGUACAUUCCCUCACACAGGAUUGUUUUUUCUAUAUUGUAUAGCAACAUUGUUUCAAAAGGAAGAACUAAGAAAAUUAAAUUAUCUGCUCCAAGCCAGCAUCUCUUUGUGUAAAGCAUUGUCCUGGGAAAUCCAGAAUGCUUAACUUACCCUGUCAGUGUAAGGUGUGCAUUAAAGUAUUUGACAGCCUGGAAAAUUCCUCUGGCCAUAAGGAAAUAAUACAAAAUACAAACAAGACAUCAGUUUGUCUUCCUGUGUUUAUUCCUUAAAAUAAUAAAUAGAUAAAUAAAUAAAUCA